CUUGCUUAUACAGAUAAAUCUCGCAUCAUGCUAUUGGCACAACUGCAAUUUGGAAAAGGAUAUUUUUCGCUAAAUGACUGGUAUCACCAUGUUUCAGGAUCAAAAACAGAAUCUUCAGAUGCCUCACUUCCCAGAAGUAAUGGAUUUGUGGCAGUGAUGGCAAAAGUUGUCACCCACCAUAGGGAGAAAGAGGUAGUAUUUACCUUAAUCUACUUCCCUAAUGCAUCAACCAUUGGAAGUAAAAAGACCAACAAUUACUGCAGAAGGAAAAGGAUGGCACUGAUCUUAAGAUGUGACAGCAACACCUAUCAUACCUUCUGGCGAAGUUUCAAUACAAAUAUAGCCAUGAAGCCCUGUGCUACAUCUCAUGACUGCGUGGCUCUUUAUCGCAAUUCCGAGAAUACCUGGACUUGUCGUAACUCUGUCUGCGUCUGCUAUCCUGAUCCUUGUGCUAGGAUACUGAUGGCUGGCACUAUUGUCAUGAAGCAAUGCUGGAGUGAUGACGACUGUGACAGGAAUGAGUUCUGUAGCACCAGAAAUAAUGCCUGCGCUUGUAAAAGCGGCUACGAGUACGACCACAACAGACAGUGCUUAAGUUUGGAUGAGCAUCACUCUUUCUUUGGGUCAAAAUUUGAUCCCCCUCGUGACAUGAUAGUUCCUGGCUUAUUCAUUCUGGGCACAGCAACAUCAAUAUAUUUUGGCUUCAAACUCUACUGCAAUGAUCGCUGGAGGAUUUGGAGGAUGCGGAGAAGGCCACUGUUCAGAGGCCGAGACAUAGAAGCUGCAAUCCCUCCCACUACAUGGGUGGCUUCUUACAGAGUUGUAGAUGCCCGGACGAGCCCGCUGUACCCACCCUGCUUGCUGCUGCCCAUGGGUCCGCCACCGUACGAGGAGGCUCUCAAACACAAGGUGAUCCUGAGCAGUUACCAUCCACAGAUCCACCCCGACUCUCUGCCCCAAGUACCACUCUGAUCCUCAUCCGCUGACCAGGUGACUCUGUAGAUACUGCUCUGGGGGCUUGUAUAUACCUGCUUCAGCUACUGUGGAUAUUUAUCCAAGAUAUCAUGUAGUUUUUAUUUCAAGACCACUAGAAUACCAAGCAGGAGUCAUGUACCACAAUGAAGUGAUCUUUGAAGUCUUGCAACUUAUCGAGCACCCACCUGAUGCCUGAAAUAUAGUUAUCUUAGUCUACAGCUUUGUCAAUUUCAUAUUUUGCCAAUUUUAUUUUUUUCAUGGUUUAGAGAAAUUAAAUAUCGUUAGUACAAGCCAAUUGUUAAAAAACUGAAAAAUUGUACAUACAAUAUGCUUAUAACUAAUGUUAGUUAGUACAGAUAAAAUAUAUUUUCCUGUAUAAGCUCCAAAUAUAUUCUGUACAGUAUUUUAGACUUUAAUUUUGUACUGGUAGACAUUAAGUUUGUCCUUUUCAUUUUAUAAGUAAGAGAACUUGGUUUUGUAAUACAGAUUAGUCGCAGGGAUCAACUAAAUAUUGAUAUUAGUGUACCUUUGGAAAUGUGAUUGUACAUAGCUGAUUUAGUGAGACACAGAAAUGUGGUUAGAGGUUAUAGAAUAAUUAAGACACUAUUAUUACUUAAAACAAUAUUUUAUUCUAACAAAUUGUUGUAAAUAUUCCUUGUUACACUUUCCAAGGUUUACUUAUGUUAAGAAACCAUUAAUAUUAAUAAAUCUGGAUUUUUGUAUUUUAAAUAAAUGUUCUAUUUACAGUAAA